rnacentral:rRNA from 1 species
ACGCACGCUGGCGGCGUGCCUAAUACCUGCAAGUCGAGCGGACGAAUCGAAAGCUUGCUUUUGAUUCGUUAGCGGCGGACGGGUGAGUAACACGUGGGCAACCUGCCCUGUAGACGGGGAUAACACCGAGAAAUCGGUGCUAAUACCGGAUAACACGAAAUGUCGCAUGACGUUUCGUUGAAAGACGGCGCAAGCUGUCGCUACAGGAUGGGCCCGCGGCGCAUUAGCUAGUUGGUGAGGUAACGGCUCACCAAGGCGACGAUGCGUAGCCGACCUGAGAGGGUGAUCGGCCACACUGGGACUGAGACACGGCCCAGACUCCUACGGGAGGCAGCAGUAGGGAAUCUUCCGCAAUGGACGAAAGUCUGACGGAGCAACGCCGCGUGAGCGAAGAAGGCCUUCGGGUCGUAAAGCUCUGUUGUUAGGGAAGAACAAGUAACGCAGUAACUGGCGUUACCGUGACGGUACCUAACGAGAAAGCCACGGCUAACUACGUG